rnacentral:misc_RNA from 1 species
AAGGAGCACAUCUCCAGAGGGCUUCACACAGGUGAAAGUUUUUCUGGCAGAGACCGUUUGAGUCCCCAAUCGUGGGACCGCGGAAGCUCAUGGGUGGAACACUGACAACCUCUCCCGCAUAUGAAGGAAGCCAAGUCUUUCUUCGCGGUUGAUAUAUCGACACACUGUUGGGUCCUGAAAGAACAGACGUUCUUUCCAGGCAAAAAACGACGAGACUGAAUCCUCAGUCAUACCGCCGAGCUUGCUCGGGCUGGUGCUGAAGCACGGAUUUGGACUUGUGUGUUGUUUGAGAACUGCACAGUGGACGCGAGUAUCUUUGUUA